rnacentral:rRNA from 1 species
UACAGAGGUCCCAAGCGUUGUUCGGAUUCACUGGGCGUAAAGGGUGCGUAGGCGGUCGGGUAAGUCUGAUGUGAAAUCUCCGAGCUCAACUCGGAAAUGGCAUUGGAUACUAUUCGGCUAGAGGAGUGGAGGGGGGACUGGAAUACUUGGUGUAGCAGUGAAAUGCGUAGAUAUCAAGUGGAACACCAGUGGCGAAGGCGAGUCCCUGGACAUUUCCUGACGCUGAGGCACGAAAGCUAGGGGAGCAAAC